GUGUGUACGAUCCGCCAGACUGCAGUACUGAGAUCGUCAACCAUGGUGUACUGGUGGUGGGCUAUGGGACAGACCAAGGACAAGAUUACUGGAUUGUGAAAAACAGCUGGGGUUCUAGAUGGGGAGAGCAAGGGUAUAUCCGCAUGGCCAGGAACAAGAAUCUCUGUGCGAUAGCGCGCCGUCCCAUCUACCCUAUAGUUGGUAACUGAUCGGGGUCCCCUUGUGGUCGUUCCAGCAUCCAACAGCCUCACAAAGAAAUGUUAUGCUGAAUACAAUAAAUGGUUUUGAAUGUU